rnacentral:rRNA from 1 species
AAUGAACGUUGGCGGCGUGGAUUAGGCAUGCAAGUCGAGCGAGAACCCAGCAAUGGGGGACAGCGGCGUAAGGGACAGUAAUGUGUAGAUUAUCUGCCCUCGGGACCGGGAUAGCUGCGGGAAACUGCAGGUAAUACCGGAUAACAUCUCCAGAUCAAAGGUGUGAUUCCGCCCGAGGAUGAGUCUGCAUCCUAUUAGCUAGUUGGCAGGGUAAUGGCCUACCAAGGCUUUGAUGGGUAGCGGGUGUGAGAGCACGACCCGCGUCAUUGGGACUGAGACACUGCCCAGACACCUACGGGUGGCUGCAGUCGAGAAUCUUCGGCAAUGGGCGCAAGCCUGACCGAGCGACGCCGCGUGUGGGAUGAAGGCCUUCGGGUUGUAAACCACUGUUAGAGGGGAUGAAAUGCAGGUGGGUUCUCCCAUCUGUUUGACAUAGCCUCAGAGGAAGGACGGGCUAAGUUCGUGCCAGCCGCCGCCGUAA